GAUGAACGCUGGCGGCAUGCUUAACACAUGCGAGUCGAACGGGAAGUGGUGUUUCCAGUGGCGAACGGGUGAGUAACGCGUAAGAACCUGCCCUUGGGAGGGGAACAACAACUGGAAACGGUUGCUAAUACCCCGUAGGCUGAGGAGCAAAAGGAGAAAUCCGCCCAAGGAGGGGCUCGCGUCUGAUUAGCUAGUUGGUGAGGUAAUAGCUUACCAAGGCGAUGAUCAGUAGCUGGUCCGAGAGGAUGAUCAGCCACACUGGGACUGAGACACGGCCCAGACUCCUACGGGAGGCAGCAGUGGGGAAUUUUCCGCAAUGGGCGAAAGCCUGACGGAGCCAUGCCGCGUGGAGGUGGAAGGCCUACGGGUCGUCAACUUCUUUUCUCGGAGAAGAAACAAUGACGGUAUCUGAGGAAUAAGCAUCGGCUAACUCUGUG
rnacentral:rRNA from 1 species